rnacentral:rRNA from 1 species
UACGUAGGGUGCAAGCGUUGUCCGGAAUUAUUGGGCGUAAAGAGCGUGUAGGCGGCCCGAUUAGUCCGCUGUGAAAGUCCAGGGCUCAACCCUGGAAUGCCGGUGGAUACUGUCGGGCUAGAGUCCGGAAGGGGCGAGUGGAAUUCCUGGUGUAGGCGGUGAAAUGACGCAGAUAUCAGGAGGAACACCAAUUGCGAAGGCAGCUCGCUGGGACGUAACUGACGCUGAGACGCGAAAGCGUGGGAGCAAACAGG